rnacentral:rRNA from 1 species
GUGCACCAGGCGAGAAACCUCCGCAAUGCGGGAAACCGCGACGAGGGGACUCCCAGUGCCUACGCUCAGCGUAGGCUGUUCCCGAGCCUAGAAAGCUCGGGGAGUAAGGGCUGGGUAAGACGGGUGCCAGCCGCCGCGGUAAUACCCGCAGCCCGAGUGGUGGCCACUAUUAUUGGGCCUAAAGCGUCCGUAGCCGGCCCGGUAAAUGCCUGGGUAAAUCGCGAGGCCUAACCUCACGAAUUCCGGGUAGACUGCCGGGCUAGGGACCGGAGGAGGGAGAGGGUACUCCAGGGGUAGGGGUGAAAUCCUGUAAUCCCUGGAGGACCACCGGUGGCGAAGGCGCUCUCCUAGGACGGGUCCGACGGUGAGGGACGAAAGCCAGGGGAGCGAACCGGAUUAGAUACCCGGGUAGU